AGAAGGAAGGUUGUCGCCUCGCUCAUUAUGCAAGUAACCCGGGAGCUUUGGAAUGAGAUAAAUGCUCGAGUUUUCCGUGACAAAGCGACGUUGCCCACAAUCAUCUUUGAUAACAUCAAGUCGGAAGCGAGGAAUUGGGUCCUCAUUGGGGAAAACCAUUUGAGCUCUUUGAUGCCGCGAGAGUAG
rnacentral:rRNA from 1 species